rnacentral:rRNA from 1 species
AUUGAACGCUGGCGGCAUGCUUUACACAUGCAAGUCGGACGAGUGGCGAACGGGUGAGUAAUAUCUUGGAACGUACCGAAUAAUGGGGGAUAACCAAUCGAAAGAGUAGCUAAUACCGCAUAUUAUUCGAGCGGCCCAUAUCGGAUUAGCUAGUGGGUGGGGUAAAGGCCUACCAAGGCGACGAUCAGUAGCGGGUCUGAGAGGAUGAGCAGCCACCCUGGGACUGAGACACGGCCCAGACUCCUACGGGAGGCAGCAGUGGGGAAUUUUGGACAAUGGGCGCAAGCCUGAUCCAGCCAUGCCGCGUGUGUGAAGAAGGCCUUCGGGUUGUAAAGGACUUUUGUUGGGGAAGCGUUACUCACAGAAUAAGCACCGGCUAACUCCGUGCCAGCAGCCGCGGUAAUAC